GUGGGGAAUAUUGGGCAAUGGGCGCAAGCCUGACCCAGCAACGCCGCGUGAGGGAAGAAGGUUUUCGGAUUGUAAACCUCUGUCCUCAAUGAAAAGAGUAAGAUGGUAAUUGAGGAGGAAGCCCCGGCUAACUACGUGCCAGCAGCCGCGGUAAUACGUAGGGGGCGAGCGUUGUCCGGAAUGAUUGGGCGUAAAGGGCGCGUAGGCGGCCUGUUAAGUCUGGAGUGAAAGUCCUGCUUUCAAGGUGGGAAUUGCUUUGGAUACUGAUAGGCUUGAGUGCAGGAGAGGUUAUCGGAAUUCCCGGUGUAGCGGUGAAAUGCGUAGAGAUCGGGAGGAACACCAGUGGCGAAGGCGGGUAACUGGACUGCAACUGACGCUGAGGCGCGAAAGUGUGGGGAGCAAACAGG
rnacentral:rRNA from 1 species